AACGAACGCUGGCGGCAGGCCUAACACAUGCAAGUCGAGCGAGACCUUCGGGUCUAGCGGCGGACGGGUGAGUAACGCGUGGGAAUAUGCCCUUUGGUACGGAAUAGCCUCGGGAAACUGAGAGUAAUACCGUAUGUGCCCUUCGGGGGAAAGAUUUAUCGCCAAAGGAUUAGCCCGCGUUGGAUUAGGUAGUUGGUGGGGUAAUGGCCUACCAAGCCUACGAUCCAUAGCUGGUUUGAGAGGAUGAUCAGCCACACUGGGACUGAGACACGGCCCAGACUCCUACGGGAGGCAGCAGUGGGGAAUCUUAGACAAUGGGGGAAACCCUGAUCUAGCCAUGCCGCGUGAGUGAUGAAGGCCUUAGGGUUGUAAAGCUCUUUCAGCUGGGAAGAUAAUGACGGUACCAGCAGAAGAAGCCCCGGCUAACUCCGUGCCAGCAGCCGCCGUAA
rnacentral:rRNA from 1 species